CAGUCUCUUGCCUCGCUCGGCCUUUUGUGUCUAUCAAAAGAUCUAGAGCUGGAUGCCUGUACUUUGUACCAGGUAUGGGACGAGAAAAAUCCGACGAUCUUUGAGUACGAUUCAGUCCGAACACCACGGAUUCGAUCGUAAUUUAUCCGUCGAUACAUAU
rnacentral:snoRNA from 1 species